UCAGGAUGAACGCUGGCGGCGUGCCUAACACAUGCAAGUCGAGCGAUUCUCUUCGGAGAAGAGCGGCGGACGGGUGAGUAACGCGUGGGUAACCUGCCCUGUACACACGGAUAACAUACCGAAAGGUAUGCUAAUACGGGAUAAUAUGCUUUAGUCGCAUGGCUGAAGUAUCAAAGCUCCGGCGGUACAGGAUGGACCCGCGUCUGAUUAGCUAGUUGGUGAGGUAAUGGCUCACCAAGGCGACGAUCAGUAGCCGACCUGAGAGGGUGAUCGGCCACAUUGGAACUGAGACACGGUCCAAACUCCUACGGGAGGCAGCAGUGGGGAAUAUUGCACAAUGGGCGAAAGCCUGAUGCAAGCAACGCCGCGUGAGCGAUGAAGGCCUUCGGGUCGUAAAGCUCUGUCCUCAAGGAAGAUAAUGACGGUACUUGAGGAGGAAGCCCCGGCUAACUACGUGCCAGCAGCGGC
rnacentral:rRNA from 1 species